AGCGAACGCUGGCGGCAGGCCUAACACAUGCAAGUCGAACGGACCUGUCGGGGUUAGUGGCGGACGGGGGAGUAACACGUGGGGACGUGCCUUUAAGUUCCGAGUAACUCAGUGAAGCUUAUGCUAAUGCCGCUUGUGCCCUUAGGGGAUAAGAGUUAUCGCUGUUAGAGCGGCCCGCGUAUGUUUAGCUGGUUGGUUGGGGUAAUGGCUCACCAAGGCGUCGAUCAGUAGCUGGUUGGAAAGGAUGAUCAGCCACAUUGGGGCUGCGACACGGCCCCAACCCCUAGGCGGGGCUGCAGUGGGGAAUCCUGCGCGAUGGUCGAAAGCCUGGCGCUGCCAUGCCGCGUGAAUGAUGCAGGUCUUAGUAUUGCAAUAUUCUUUCACCGGCGACGAUAAUGACGGUACCGGGUUAAGAAGCCCCGGCUAACUUCGUG
rnacentral:rRNA from 1 species